ensembl:ncRNA lncRNA:CR43828 long non-coding RNA:CR43828
CGGGGCCAUAAACGGGUUGGCCUAAAAACGGCAGAAGUUUGCCGCAGUGGAAACUGUCAAGUGGCGAACCAAAAACAAUACCGCAACGCAAACCCACUUUGCAUGAUUUAGGGCCAUAGGGAAAAUCGCAAUAUACCUUGCGAUAUACCACUUAUCCUGCUGCUGCUUAUCCUGGCUCACACAUACUUCUGGCUAUUCAGAUAUGCGAGCGGCCGAGAGGUGUGUCCUUUGUAUGGAAAAUCGAUGGCACAAUGUGAUUAGCAACACAAAAUUACUCGGCGUGGAAGGGGGCGAUCGAAGAGGGCUUGUCUUUUGCGUGUCCUCUUCCUGAAGGACCCUGAAGUAGACUGACAAGCGACGUAAACAAACUAACUAACUUAGCAAAUGAGUUUAUUAAUGAGCAAACUAAGUAGCUCUGCAAGUUGGAAAUGGAAAUGGAAAGGGGAAAAUAGGUGGAGAGACCAUUAAGUUCUAUGAUUAAAACAUGCUUGAAAGGCUAGCCUUUAGUUUGAACUAAAACUGGGAGUUUAAUACACCGGCAGAUGUCCUGUCAUUAAACCUCGACGUCUGUCCACAAAUUACUCCAUGUCUGGUGCUUUAUAUAAGUUUCAUCUAUCUUCUUCCCCUAGCCAAUUGCUAAAGUCAACUUGCCUGGUUUCUGUAUCCCUCAUUUCCGGUUUUUAUCCUGCUUCUCCACACGAUUUCCUCAGUCUGCUCUUUGUCUGUAAUUUGCAGCUUUCUUAAUUAAAAUGUGCAACCAAAAACCCAGCUCCCUAAUUUUUCAGACUGUGCUAUUCUCAACCAUCGAACCAAGCUGAGGUAUUGUGUUUUUGUUUAGCAUAUUAACAAAGUUUUGUGCUUAAUUUAAUCUGCACUCGUUUGACGCUUUCAUUCGAGGACUCUCCUGAACUUCAAAGUAACUGGCCAAGAAUUUUUGUUUCGCAAAACUUGCCGAAAAAGUUUCGCCUUUGAGUGGCCCGCUACACCAUGUUUAAACCCACUGGCAGGCCGAUUUUCGUCUUACCAACUGGACCCAUUUUCCUGGCUGCCAUAAUUUAUGACCCACACAGUUGGUCGAGUAUCGCAAAAGGCAAACAAUUGCUUUGGGGAAAUGCUCCCUGUCGGUUGCAUAAUUGAUGUGGGCCUGCUCGUACGAGUGUGCAAUUCUUUUUGCUACCCAGUAAUCGCGAGUCAGGGAGUUUGAUUCAGUGGGAUAAUGGAAACUGAAAGAAAUGGGAAAUGAUAUGAAACUUAAAAGGAAAUAACUCCUUUGUAUUUCUGUUUGACAAUAAUUAUAUCUGUAAAUUGUAUAUUUUAUUAAUGUGUAUAAAUAGAUAAUAAUCGUAGAGCGCAGAUGGCUGGUUUGGUGUAAAGGAUCCCAUCUUUGCUACUCAGUUGGCAAAGGCGCCUACUAAAUCCUCCAUUAUAUCCUUGACACAGUCCACGCUCUUUGCCAUGUUUUCGAGUGCUGCCUGCUUUUAGGCGCCUUUUCGCCUUGUUUGCCGCCACUUGCAAGGCCAUCGCGGAAUAGAAACCAGGCUGGGAGGAGCUCGGCUGAAGGUUGCGUGCCAACUCAUCUCGGAUCGAGCGAACCACCCACAUUCCGGCCUGCAUGUUCGACACUUUUAUUAAUGCGCUCGUAACGCUCGUAAGGCUGUCAGAAUUCCAUUCACAGAACGUUAUCGUGUCCGUGGAAAGGGAAGGGGAUCCGAAGGAUACUGUAGCAUUGUUCGCCAUUUCCUGGGCUGAUAAGUCGGAAUACUUUGUCGCCAACGCUUGUUGCCCUGCUGACAGUUGUAAUAAAUGAAAAGGAUUGCAGGAUACCAAUGGGACAUCGAAUUCCACAUGGUUAUAACAGGAAAUAUAUGUUUUCGCUAGGAAGCUAAGCAUAAAAUAAGUUGAAAAAGAGGUUUAUAAUUCUAAUGCAGUGAUUCCUUACUUCGAAGAAGUACAAUAAAGAGAACUAUGUUAAUUCCAAGGCAAUCACUUAACGAGCUUUUUCUCGCCGGAGUCAUUACCACAUCCCAAGUCCUGCUCAUGACCAUCAUUAGUCACUUUCGCAUGUACGCACGUAGACUGCGC